CCCGGAGACAAGACGAUGGUCAUAAAUCCCUCGCCGCCAUUCCGACGUGUCCUCGUUUGGAGUACGUCUCAAAGGAUGUUAUGCCGUGACCCCCCUGAGGAUGAAUCGAGAGUGUGGAGGCUCUUCGGUGCAUCCUGAUGCUAACAAAAUCCCGCUUCACUCUUCCACUGGCUGUUGGCAUCCCCGCCCCCUCCCGGCAGGAAAAAUAAACUUGACCCCUGGCAUCCGGGCGCGACGUGACCUCUGAACCCCCCACUUCCCCCCCCCCUCCUCUCCGACGAGGCCUGGGCGCAAUGAGUCUCCUCAUUCCAUCCAUCGCGCUUCCUCCUCGAGGAAUUCCUCAAAUGUUCUCGGAGGCAAGCGGGCGCACGCCGCGCGUUUCAGGUCAGUGGGCCGCCCCUCAACCGCUUCGCCGGCGAAUGCCGCGCCUUUUUUUUUUCGUGUCUAUUCGCAAUCGCCGCACGGCGGCGCCUUGAGAUAAAAGUUCAGCCGACUUUGGGGUAUUUUGCGAGACGGUUCGGCGUCGAGGCUUCCGCUUCUUUUUUGCUACAGUCUCCCAUGACUUACCUGCGUUUAGCUUAAUGCUAACAAACAAUGCAAAAGGCCAUAGACAGGCUAACGGAUUGUUAUGAGGCUUUCGGCAACGCAGACUCGUAAGCGGCGUCAGCGGGUUGGAACAUAGUGACGGAAUGAC